rnacentral:rRNA from 1 species
AUGCCAUUUUCUGAGAGCAACAUGCCAUUUUUUGAGAGGACGACAGUUAUGAGCCCUUUUUUUCUCGCCAGAAAAUGCCAUAUUGAUGCUCAGAAAAAAGGAUCAUCCACCCCCGAAGUUAUGGUAAAGGGCGCUGGUAGUGGAAGAGAUGCCGCAUUACGAGCCAUUGCUAAAAAUAGUGUGCGAUUAAGUUGUAUACGCGAUGUAACACCUAUGCCGCAUAAUGGAUGUCGACCGCCUAAAAAAAGACGUUUGUAA